CCAACGUCCAGGCCCAAAAGGGGCCCCGCGCGCGGGUUUGGGAACAGCUUGCUCAGAAGAGUCGCAGGAGGUUACUUCAGUCCCGUUUGGAGAAAACUCAGGUCUGCUGUGCCUUCAGAAAAUGUUUCUCCACAUCCUCAUCUCUAAGCCAUGAAACUCCCUGGGUGAUCCUGGGCCUCCCACUGUUUCUGCACCGUCUUACUGGGUUGCUUGCAAAGGAACUUUCCUGGGCAAAAGAUAGAAUGCCAUCAUGGGUGAUUGAGACUAAUAGCAGUGAUCUGACAUGGCUUAAGGGGGUGCAAGGAUCAAACCUUGAUGGAACGUCAAGUAAAGGGAGCUUUCAGCAACUAGGGAGAGCUGAACGGCCAUAUCCUUUGCUGUUCACUUGAAACUGCAGCAAAGCUUUGGCUACUGAGGAGAGAACUAGCUGGGCCUCAGAAGAUGGCAACAAUCAACUGCACGCCCAAAGGGAAGCUGCUCUGUAAAUUCAGAAAAAAACACAAGGGGGCAGUGACUGAUUGGAUGCUUUCCUUACUCCCAUUGCAAGCAAGCACAGGACCUACAGACUCAGCCAAGUUCAUUCUCGACUGGUCCCAAAGAUCUGCAGGAGGAAAGAAAAUAUGUAGAUGAUGUCCAGGGCAGUUGGGCUUGAAGAAGGAUGAAGGUUGUCCCAGCCAGUCAUCAGAUUACCAAGCUGUGAUGGUGCUUCCCUUCCCUGCCAUACAGGACUGUUAGACUCCACGAGGAAGAAAAAAAAGCAAAGCCUCCAACCCAGCUGGACAAAGCAGUUGUGUGGAGAAAUGGUGAUUCCCCUCUGUCUGCUUCUAAUUUAUUGUUAUCAGCAAUAAAGCAUCUUCAUGGUAU